rnacentral:lncRNA from 1 species
GAGAAAGAGGAAAAAGAAGAGAGAAAAAAUGAGAUUGAGAAAACAGAGAAAAAAGAAAAAGAAGAGAGGGAAAAAGAGGAAGAAGAGGUUAAGAUUAAAAAAGAAAAAAAGAAAAAUAACAAAAAAAAUUGAGAAAAAUUUUCACCACCUUGAGGAGUGUUCCAUGAAAGAAAAAGAGAUGCAACCAGGGUGUUUUAAUGAAAUCUUCAAGAAAUUGGGGAUAAAAAUUCUUGUGACUGAGUCAUUGCAA